GACGAACCGUGCGAACGUUGUUCGGAAUCACUGGGCGUAAAGGGCGCGUAGGCGGCCGAUUAAGUCGGGGGUGAAAGCCUGUGGCUCAACCACAGAAUUGCCUUCGAUACUGAUUGGCUUGAGACCGGAAGAGGUCAGUGGAACUGCGAGUGUAGAGGUGAAAUUCGUAGAUAUUCGCAAGAACACCAGUGGCGAAGGCGGCUGACUGGUCCGGUUCUGACGCUGAGGCGCGAAAGCGUGGGGAGCAAACAGG
rnacentral:rRNA from 1 species